AUUAUACCCUAUAUUUCUAAUUAAUUAUCCACAUUAAAUUUUUUAAAUAGUAAUAAAGUAUUAAUAUCUAAAUUAGAAAAUUCUUAAUUUUUUUCAAAAAUAUUAAAUAUGUUGAAUUUAAAUAUUUACCGACGUUCAAUUUUUUAAAAUUAGUAAUACAAAAUUAAUGUCUAAACAAGAAAAAUUCAUAAUUUUAUUAAACAUAUUACAUAUGUUAAAUUUAAAUAUUUACCAACAUUACAAGUUUUUUAAAUAGUGAUACAAAAUUAAUGUCUAAAGCAGAAUAAUUUUAAAAGUUUUUUAACAUAUUAAAUACAUUUAAUUUAUAAUUUUUUUACCUACAUUCAAAUUCUUUUAAAUAAGUGAUACAAAAUUAAGAUCUAAACUAUGGAAAUUGAAAAGUUUCUUAAACAUAUUAAAUAUGUUGAAUUAAAAUAUUUACCAACAUUACAAAUUUUUUAAAUAGUAAUACAAAAUUCCUCUAACUUAAAUUUAAAUUUUUAAUUUUUAAUAUUUAAUAUUUAAUAUUAAUUUAAAUUAAUGCCUAAAUUUGAGAAACACUAAAAUUUCUAAAAUGAAUGCCUAAAUUAAUGCCUGUAUUAAUGCUUAAAUUUGGGUAAUCAAUCAAUUCCCCAAAUUAGUGCAAAUUAAUACGUAAAUUUGAUAUCAAUUAAAACUUUUUUUCAAUGUUGUUGCAUAGUUUAAUUACAAAAAAUAACCUCGAAUGAAGUAACCCGUUUACCUGCUAAAUAAUAAAAUUACAUUUUUAUUUUCUAUUAAUCAACGGUUAAAUUUUUUUUAUUUUCUAUAAAAUAAAGUGCCAAAUUAUUUCUCAAAAUUUAAAUUAUUAUAAAAUAAAAUAACUCCAACACCAACCACGGCCCACCCCCGCACACAACAAAUACUCAAAUGGCUCAAAUUGAAUGACAAAGUCAUAUUUUCCACGAGAAUAAUAAAAAAAUAAGGAGAAACACAUGCGCGCACAACAAAUAGCACAAACUGAGCAACAAGUCAUAUUUCCCAUCAAAACAAUAAAAAAUAAAUAAAACUCAUGGUUCCAAUAAAAAAUAAACAAAACCUAUAAAUAGCCACCUCUACAACCACUUACCCACAUAUACACAACAAAUCGCUGAUGUCGGUCCACGAACCUAUAAAUAGCCACCUCCGUAAGAGCCUACUC
rnacentral:lncRNA from 1 species